rnacentral:piRNA from 1 species
UCCGGUGGUCCAGACGGUCGGUCGGGAGA